rnacentral:misc_RNA from 1 species
AAGGAGUCGUCUUCGUGUGCGAGUGUUCGGGUGUCAAACCCCUACGCGUAAUGAAAGUGAACGCAGGUGAGAGCUUCGGCGCAUCAUCGACCGAUCCUGAUGUUCACGGAUGGAUUUGAGUAAGAGCAUACGGGGCCGGACCCGAAAGAAGGUGAACUAUGCCUGAAUAGGGUGAAGCCAGAGGAAACUCUGGUGGAGGCUCGCAGCGGUUCUGACGUGCAAAUCGAUCGUCAAAUAUGGGCAUGGGGGCGAAAGACUAAUCGAACCUUCUAGUAGCUGGUUUCCG